GCGCGCGCGGAUGGAAAGAGGGCAGUGGAGCCGGGGCGGCUCAGUGGACUCUUUGUUCUCCUCGCGGUGGAUGGGAACGUUUCCUAAUUCCCAGUUUUUCAACUAUUUGAGGAUCAAAAGAACUGUUGAGCUCGUCGUUCUCAUCCCUCGUUUCUCAUCAUGGUCCCGAUUCGUCGUAGCAGACCUCCGCCGCUAGAGGGCGCUGCAGCACAACAUGUCAGGGAGAGAGGAGAUGAAGAAAAGUCCUCACAGAAGAGGAUGGGAGUAGAUGCAAAGCGACCUCUUGAAGGAUUUCAUCUUUGAAUCGAUUCAUAUUCAAACAUUUAAAGAUCAAUAAAUCCACAAAUAACCUUAAAAUCAC